rnacentral:rRNA from 1 species
UACGGAGGGGGCUAGCGUUGUUCGGAAUUACUGGGCGUAAAGCGUACGUAGGCGGCUUUGUAAGUUAGAGGUGAAAGCCCGGGGCUCAACUCCGGAAUUGCCUUUAAGACUGCAUCGCUGGAAUCAUGGAGAGGUGAGUGGAAUUCCGAGUGUAGAGGUGAAAUUCGUAGAUAUUCGGAAGAACACCAGUGGCGAAGGCGACUCACUGGACAUGUAUUGACGCUGAGGUACGAAAGCGUGGGGAGCAAACAGG